AUUGAACGCUGGCGGCGUGCUUAACACAUGCAAGUCGUGCGGUAACAGGCGUAGCAAUACGUGCUGACGAGCGGCGAACGGGUGCGUAAUACAUGGGAAUCUGCCUUUUAGUGGGGAAUAACCCGGCGAAGGCCGGGCUAAUGCCGCAUAAGAUCUUCGGAUGAAAGCGGGGGAUCGUAAGACCUCGCGCUGAUAGAUGAGCCCAUGCCGGAUUAGCAGUUGGUGAGGUAACGGCUCACCAAGGCGACGAUCCGUAGCUGGUCUGAGAGGACGGCCAGCCACACUGGGACUGAGACACGGCCCAGACUCCUACGGGAGGCAGCAGUGGGGAAUAUUGGACAAUGGGGGAAACCCUGAUCCAGCGACGCCGCGUGUGUGAAGAAGGCCUGCGGGUUGUAAAGCACUU
rnacentral:rRNA from 1 species